rnacentral:lncRNA from 1 species
UUUCUCUUUGUUUUUCAGCUGUUGAAGUUUCUGCUCCCGGUGCUGCUUCUCCAGCUCCUGCUCCUGCCGGUGCUGCUCCAGCUUCCUCUGGUGCUCCAGUAGCUCCUGCUGAUGCUUCAUUGCCAGCAUCUCCUGCUGCUGCUUGAUGUGCUCGUGCAGCUGGGCCUCGUGCUGCCGGGAGAGCUGCUCGUGCUGUCGCUGGAACUCAGCAAUGAGGAUCUGCCUCUGGAUCUGCUGCUUCUGCUUCAGCGCCAGGAGCUCCUGCUGCAGCUGCUGCUCACGGAGCGUCGGCUCUGUCACGGGCAUAGGGAACUGGUGGUCCAGGCGCAGAUCCAUUGGGACUGAGGUUGGGGCAACUUGCAAGGGCAGUGCUGUGCUCACAUCAACAGAACUGGGCAUGUG